rnacentral:rRNA from 1 species
AACCUGGUUGAUCCUGCCAGUAGUGUAUGCUUCUCCUAAAGACUAAGCCAUGCAUGCCUUCGAAUACGAGGAAGCAAUUCUCUCUGAAUCUGCGAACGGCUCCGCAAACCAGUUGUAAACCAAAGCAAGCAUACUCGGGGUUUGCCCUUCACGGGGUCGGCUACGGGUGAUACGGGUAACCCUGGUAAUUCUGAGGCUAAUACGAGAAUGUACUCCCUGGCUAACCGGGAAACUGGUAGGCUGGGGGGCGUGUGAUCUAUUUGCAAGACGAUUCCAGGAAGGGGUGCACGCUCUGACCGCGACAAAGACAGUUCUGACGGACCCUCACGGGCGAGUCGGUUCUGAGCGGCUCUUGCGAAGUGCUUCUGACCUAUCAACUAGACGGCAGCGUAACGGACAUGCCAUGGUUACAACGGGUACAGAGGAUUAGGGUUCGAUCCUGGAGAGUGGGCCUGAGAGAUUGCUCAUACUUCUAAGGAAGGCAGCAGGCGCGCAACGUUCCCCUUGGGCAAUGCCCGAGGGCGUUAGGGGACAUAUGAAUGGUGCCUUUAGGUGGCCAAUGGACUGUAUGACGUAGNNNNNNNNNNNUCGAGUAACAAUUAGAGGACA